rnacentral:rRNA from 1 species
AACGAACGCUGGCGGCAGGCUUAACACAUGCAAGUCGAACGCCCCGCAAGGGGAGUGGCAGACGGGUGAGUAACGCGUGGGAAUCUACCCAGAUCUUCGGAACAACUGAGGGAAACUUCAGCUAAUACCGGAUACGCCCUACGGGGGAAAGAUUUAUCGGUUCUGGAUGAGCCCGCGUUGGAUUAGCUAGUUGGUGAGGUAACGGCUCACCAAGGCGACGAUCCAUAGCUGGUCUGAGGGGAUGAUCAGCCACACUGGGACUGAGACACGGCCCAGACUCCUACGGGAGGCAGCAGUGGGGAAUAUUGGACAAUGGGCGAAAGCCUGAUCCAGCCAUGCCGCGUGAGUGAUGAAGGCCUUAGGGUUGUAAAGCUCUUUCAGUAGGGAAGAUAAUGACGGUACCUACAGAAGAAGCCCCGGCUAACUUCGUGCCAGCCGCCGCAGUAAUAC